UGGGGAAUUUUGGACAAUGGGCGCAAGCCUGAUCCAGCAAUGCCGCGUGCAGGAUGAAGGCCUUCGGGUUGUAAACUGCUUUUGUACGGAACGAAACGGUCUUUUCUAAUACAGAAGGCUAAUGACGGUACCGUAAGAAUAAGCACCGGCUAACUACGUGCCAGCAGCCGCGGUAAUACGUAGGGUGCGAGCGUUAACCGGAAUUACUGGGCGUAAAGCGUGCGCAGGCGGUUUUGUAAGACAGGGGUGAAAUCCCCGGGCUCAACCUGGGAAGUGCCUUUGUGACUGCAAGGCUUGAGUGAGGCAGAGGGGGAUGGAAUUCCGCGUGUAGCAGUGAAAUGCGGAGAUAUGCGGAGGAACACCGAUGGCGAAGGCAAUCCCCUGGGCCUGCACUGACGCUCAUGCACAAAAGCGUGGGGAGCAAACA
rnacentral:rRNA from 1 species